GAGGGUAUAGCUCAAUGGUAGAGCGUGUGCUUAGCAGGCACGAGGUCCUGAGUUCAAUCCCCAGUACCUCCA
rfam:Camelus ferus unplaced genomic scaffold scaffold1533, whole genome shotgun sequence.